GAAACUUUGUAAACAAGUCUUACACGUUGUGUGAAAUAUAUUUUAUUUGAUCGUUUCAGUGAGCUGUAUCGUUGGGAAACUCGCAGGACUGGAAGACUUCACUAAGAGAUCAUUCAAUGAGAGAGAUGCUCAAAUACGCAACACAGACCAGGCCAUGGUGACAAGGUCUACCUAUCUCUCCAAAGGGAGGAGGAGAGCAUCAGAAGAGAUGGUCAAGCCCUCUGGCCUAGGUCAGGCCAUUGUCUUCCAACAGGUGAGGUCACUCCUAUGACUCCUGUGACGCUAGUCCCUUGACCAACGGUGCAGACGAAAGGUCUGGCCAACCUGAAUGAUGUCAUCAACAGUGCUGCAUCGCCCAGUGAAGACAGGAUGCCACCUGUGAACAGCAGCUUUGAGAGCGUUGGAGCGAGUCAGGAAUGGUGGUUGGUUGGGUGUGGCUCAUCUCAGCUGUUCCUUGCAGGGCCACGCUGACUGAGUUAGUGCCUGUGCUGUUAUGGGUUCAUUGGGCUGGUAUGCGGCAGGAAUCUUUGGAUCAAGAGGUCCAGAGUUUUGGGAGGGAGGCCAGGCAGGCGGGGCUGUCGUUUGUCUUUAUCAGAUACAUUGAAGAUAAGAAGGUCCUGCUCUCAUGUACCAUCUGUUUCUGCUGGAGACCUCCGGGGCCCUAACCUAACCACACACACUGCAUGAAGAUGGUGCCCUUACCCACUGUGCGUGCGUGUGUGUGUGUGUGUG